rnacentral:SRP_RNA from 1 species
UGGUUCCCUCGCAAUGAUAAGCCGUUAACCUGGUCAGGCCCGGAAGGGAGCAGCCACAGCGGCGGAUUCGUGUGCCGGGGUGUAGCUG